CACGUAGGGUGCGAGCGUUGUCCGGAAUUAUUGGGCGUAAAGAGCUCGUAGGCGGUGUGUCGCGUCGGCCGUGAAAACCUGCAGCUUAACUGUGGGCUUGCGGUCGAUACGGGCAUCACUGGAGUUCGGCAGGGGAGACUGGAAUUCCUGGUGUAGCGGUGAAAUGCGCAGAUAUCAGGAGGAACACCGGUGGCGAAGGCGGGUCUCUGGGCCGAUACUGACGCUGAGACGCGAAAGCUAGGGGAGCGAACAGG
rnacentral:rRNA from 1 species